GACCGAAUAGUUUAGAGGUUUAGAAUCUUCGUUUCCCAUUCUUGACUACGAAGGACUCGGGUUCGACUCCCGAUUCGGUCA
rnacentral:tRNA from 2 species